UACGUAGGGUGCGAGCGUUGUCCGGAAUUAUUGGGCGUAAAGAGCUCGUAGGCGGCUUGUCGCGUCGGAUGUGAAAGCCCGGGGCUUAACCCCGGGUCUGCAUUCGAUACGGGCAGGCUAGAGUUCAGUAGGGGAGAUCGGAAUUCCUGGUGUAGCGGUGAAAUGCGCAGAUAUCAGGAGGAACACCGGUGGCGAAGGCGGAUCUCUGGGCCGAUACUGACGCUGAGGAGCGAAAGCGUGGGGAGCGAACAGG
rnacentral:rRNA from 1 species